UAAAACCGUGAAUACCGUAAAUAUUUGUCUGUUUUUCCUAUAAUUUUGUCUCUUGAGUUUUCCAGUAAUUAUUAUCAAAACCAUUGCAUAUAAAACAAAAAAAAUCAUCUAAUUCCAGCCAACCAUUCAACCAUACGAUUAUUAUAUUCUUUGUUCAUUUUAUAUUUGGAAUAUAUUGGUUUUACUUUGUGAUUUUUUUUCUGUUUGUGUACAACUUUUAUAGGUACUAGAAAGCUCUAAUCAAAAAACGAAAAGUUAUCUUUUUUAUUUCUAUUUUAAUUUAUUUGGUGAAUGAGAAAGU